AUUGAACGCUGGCGGCAUGCCUUACACAUGCAAGUCGAACGGUAACAGAUCUUCGGAUGCUGACGAGUGGCGAACGGGUGAGUAAUACAUCGGAACGUGCCCGAUCGUGGGGGAUAACGAAGCGAAAGCUUUGCUAAUACCGCAUACGAUCUACGGAUGAAAGCAGGGGACCGCAAGGCCUUGCGCGAACGGAGCGGCCGAUGGCAGAUUAGGUAGUUGGUGGGAUAAAAGCUUACCAAGCCGACGAUCUGUAGCUGGUCUGAGAGGACGAUCAGCCACACUGGGACUGAGACACGGCCCAGACUCCUACGGGAGGCAGCGGUGGGGAAUUUUGGACAAUGGGCGCAAGCCUGAUCCAGCAAUGCCGCGUGCAGGAUGAAGGCCUUCGGGUUGUAAACUGCUUUUGUACGGAACGAAAAGCCCUGGGUUAAUACCCUGGGGUCAUGACGGUACCGUAAGAAUGAGCACCGGCUAACUACGUGCCAGCCGCCGCAGUAA
rnacentral:rRNA from 1 species